rnacentral:rRNA from 1 species
GAUGAACGCUGGCGGCGUGCCUAACACAUGCAAGUCGAGCGAACCCUUCGGGGUGAGCGGCGGACGGGUGAGUAACGCGUGGGUAACCUGCCCUGUACACACGGAUAACAUACCGAAAGGUAUGCUAAUACGGGAUAACAUAUGAGAGUCGCAUGGCUUUUGAUCAAAGCUCCGGCGGUACAGGAUGGACCCGCGUCUGAUUAGCUAGUUGGUAAGGUAACGGCUUACCAAGGCAACGAUCAGUAGCCGACCUGAGAGGGUGAUCGGCCACAUUGGAACUGAGACACGGUCCAA